rnacentral:rRNA from 1 species
CCUACGGGUGGCAGCAGUGGGGAAUAUUGCACAAUGGGCGAAAGCCUGAUGCAGCAACGCCGCGUGAGCGAUGAAGGCUUUCGGGUCGUAAACUCCUGUUCUCAAAGAAGAUAAUGACGGUAUUUGACGAAUAAGCACCGGCUAACUCCGUGCCAGCAGCCGCGGUAAUACGUAGGGGGCUAGCGUUACUCGGAAUUACGGGGCGUAAAGGGUGCGCAGGUGGUUUUUUAAGUCAGAGGUGAAAGGCUAUGACUAAACUGCAUUAUGCCUUUGAAACUAGGGACCUAGAGUGCAGGAGAGGAAAGUGGAAUUCCUGGUGUAGCGGUAAAAUGCGUAGAUAUUAAGAGGAACACUAGUUGCGAAGGCGGCUCUCUGGACCAUAACUGACGCUGAGGCACGAAAGCGUGGGGAGCAAACAGGAUUAGAUACCCCUGUAGUC